UCACACUAACAUCACUGCAGCAGCUGCAUUCAUAUCACAUCAUUUACGAUUAUAAUGGAACAAGAAAAUCAUAUGGAAUCUUUACAACAAUCAUUUUCUUGUCUAUUGCCUAGCUUCUGUUUUGGCUAACCAAUGCAUCUCCUGCACGGCUUCACCUUCCUGUCAUUUUUCACCUUCCUGUCAUUUUUGAAGCUGUUUAUCGUUCUUGUUUUAGGAAUCAUGCUUCUGCCUUGGAUAAUUCCUGCUCUGAUCUUCCUCUUUCUUUCUUUAGUCCUACUGUUUCCAGUAUUUUGUAUCCUCUUCUGGGCCUUAUUGUUGUUUAAGGUCAUAUCCAAGUGUCAGACAAAAGCCUCACAAGGAAUGGAUCAUCAUCAAGAAGGAAGUGAGCAGCAGGUGAGCCUGGAGAUGGAUUCAUCUCAGUUUUCCUUUGAUCCCGGUCAAUCAGGAGAAAGCAAAAAUGAGACACCGGAAACACCAAAGACGAGCAGCAGGCAUUUCGAAUUGUGGCAAACUUGGCAUCCACAAUCUGUAGAAAUUCAUGAACGAAAACCGUUUAAUGAAAUAAUGGCAUUUUGGAGAAGGCAAGAGAAACUCACAAGUGAACAGAGAUAGCAGCACACUACUGAAGGCAUAAUAAGCCUUCAAGACUCAUCUCUGGAACUCCUAUGCUUGCUUUCAGCAAUGGUUGGAGUUUUAAGAAGGGAAGUAGAACUGAACUUUAUACUUGGAAUGAUACAGGCAUUGAUCGGCAAUGACAUCCAACGAAUCCUGAGCAAAUCGGGCUUUCUGGGCUUUGGAGAUAUGCUCUGCUGGCUUCAGGCACUGAAGAUAAUGAUUGACAUUCUACAAUGUCAUUAAUUGCGAAGUUAUCUUUUGCUGGAUCGCAUGUUCAAAAAUAUCAUUGCAAGAACUUCCGGGUCUGAUGAAUCGAUGUCUGAUUUUUGGUUGAGAAACUACAGAAUCAUAGAUUGAUCUAAACAGAAAUGGAAUAACACAGCUCGUGGGACGAUAAUGUCGCAAACACUUGUAAAUAAUACAGAGUACCAUUUCACAACCAAAAUAUUACUACGGACCCUCAGCCCCUGGUCAAUGGAAUAAGAAGAAACGAAGAGAGCACACCUGGGACCUAUAUAAUCUGAUUACAGCGUAUUUCCCUUUGCUGGUUUUGGGAGUCAAGAAUCUUAACCACUUGAACCAUCCAUAAUCUCGAUGAAAUGAGAUUUUGCUCUUGCAACUGUUUUGACGAGAAUAAUUAACCAAAGUGCACUUUAUGGGCGGCGCUAGAGAAAUGCUUUGCAGCUGCUACCAUAGCUGCCUCAGGGUUACAAGGCACUGCAGCUGUUGAAGUCUUCUUGAUUUCAUGCUCAGUUGAGGCUGUAAAGCACGAGCUGAAUAACCUAAAGACUGCUGAGUACCACUUCAUUAUUGUAUUAUCCUUGCUCCUCUUGUUGCUAUGUUGUUAAAUGUUCUAACAAAUUGGGCUGCUCUCUUUUGAUCAAAAAUAAACUAGAAAAUGAACAAAUAAAACUCUCGAGAGACUAGGAAUAUUGAAUCUGCUGUGUAGCACCGGAGAUAUAAUUCUUUUGAUGUUUGAUUUUUGAAUGAGCUAAGUAGGCAUACUCAUCAGCCUUAUACA